CUCUCCUCCCUGCUUCCCUGGGUUAGUUUUCCUCUGGAAAAUCAGAUGGGGUCUCACCAUGUUGCCCAAGCUGGUCUUGAACUCCUGGCACAAGCGAUCCUCCUGCCUCAGCCUCUGGAGCAGCAGGGACUACAGGCGCACACCACCACACCUGGCCAUAUACAUCACAUGUUGUUUAUACAUUCGUCUAUCGAUGGACAUGGGCAUCACCUCCACCUUUUUAGGCUGGUCACUGCAGCCUAAAUUCUGUCUAAUUCUGUUUUUAAUUUUAAUUCUGCUCCUCUGAGAUGAGCCAGCUUGUGCAUGAAGCAAGGCUUGAAGGAGAACACGGCUGCAUGGAUCGCUGGGCCACUGGACUGAGGUGCUUUGAAGGUGGCAAUCCACGAACCUUUGGAUUUGUGGAUCUGUGGAUCUGUGAAGCAAUGAGUUUCUUCAUUGUUGAAUUGAGGUUUAGGUCUCUUACAGCUAUGAGCCGCCUAGAUGAUGCAUCUUCCGAGAAGUUGCCCAGUUUCAAAAAUUACAGAAGAAAACAAAAAUGAACAGAACCACAGAGAAGUGGGAAUUAUUUUGCUGAUGUGAAUGCUG
rnacentral:lncRNA from 1 species